rnacentral:rRNA from 1 species
AUUGAACGCUGGCGGCAGGCCUAACACAUGCAAGUCGAACGGUAACAGGAAGCAGCUUGCUGCUUCGCUGACGAGUGGCGGACGGGUGAGUAAUGUCUGGGAAGCUGCCUGAUGGAGGGGGAUAACUACUGGAAACGGUAGCUAAUACCGCAUAAUGUCGCAAGACCAAAGAGGGGGACCUUCGGGCCUCUUGCCAUCGGAUGUGCCCAGAUGGGGUUAGCUUGUUGGUGGGGUAACGGCUCACCAAGGCGACGAUCCCUAGCUGGUCUGAGAGGAUGACCAGCCACACUGGAACUGAGACACGGUCCAGACUCCUACGGGAGGCAGCAGUGGGGAAUAUUGCACAAUGGGCGCAAGCCUGAUGCAGCCAUGCCGCGUGUAUGAAGAAGGCCUUCGGGUUGUAAAGUACUUUCAGCGGGGAGGAAGGGAGUAAAGUUAAUACCUUUGCUCAUUGACGUUACCCGCAGAAGAAGCACCGGCUAACUCCGUG